UACAGAGGGUGCGAGCGUUGCUCGGAAUCACCGGGCGUAAAGGGUGCGUAGGCGGGUCUUUAAGUCAGGGGUGAAAUCCUGGAGCUCAACUCCAGAACUGCCUUUGAUACUGAGGAUCUUGAGUUCGGGAGAGGUGAGUGGAACUGCGAGUGUAGAGGUGAAAUUCGUAGAUAUUCGCAAGAACACCAGUGGCGAAGGCGGCUCACUGGCCCGAUACUGACGCUGAGGCACGAAAGCGUGGGGAGCAAACAGG
rnacentral:rRNA from 1 species